CGGCGGUGAGGAGAUCCCUACUGUGUUGAAUGGCAGUGAUAGUUUUUUACGCUAUUCUGAGCCGAUA